rnacentral:rRNA from 1 species
CCCUUAGAUGUUCUGGGCCGCACACACGCUACACUGAAGGAGGCAGCGUGUACUCCUGGAUCGAAAGAUUUGGGUAACCCGCGAAUCUCCUUCGUGCUAGGGAUUGAGGUUUGCAAUUAUCCUUCAUGAACGAGGAAUUCCCAGUAAGUGCAAGUCAUAAGCUUGCGCUGACUACGUCCCUGCCCUUUGUACACACCGCCCGUCGCUACUACCGAUUGAAUGAUUUAGUGAGGACUUCGGACUGGGACCGAUGCGGCUUUCGGGCUGCGUCGGUAUUCUGGAAAGAUGUCCAAACUGUAUCAUUUAGAGGAAGUAAAANUCGUANCA